rnacentral:rRNA from 1 species
UAACGGCGAGUGAAGCGGCAACAGCUCAAAUUUGAAAUCUGGCCUCUUUGGGGUCCGAGUUGUAAUUUGUAGAGGAUGUUUCGGGUACCGCCUCGGUCUAAAUUUCUUGGAACAGAAUGUCAAAGAGGGUGAGAAUCCCGUCUUGGACCGGCGGUAGGGCCCAUGUGAAACUCCUUCGACGAGUCGAGUUGUUUGGGAAUGCAGCUCAAAAUGGGUGGUAAAUUUCAUCUAAAGCUAAAUAUUGGCCAGAGACCGAUAGCGCACAAGUAGAGUGAUCGAAAGAUGAAAAGCACUUUGAAAAGAGAGUUAAACAGUAUGUGAAAUUGUUGAAAGGGAAGCGCUUGCAACCAGACUUGAGCGCGGCGGUUCCCCCUUCCUUUUGGUUGGGUUAUUCCGUCGUGUCCAGGCCAACAUCGGUUCUGGGGGUCGGUUAAAGGCUCGAGGAAUGUACCUACUCCUUCGGGGGUAGACUUAUAGCCUCGGGUGUCAUGCGACCUCCCGGGACCGAGGAACGCGCUUCGGCUCGGAUGUUGGCGUAAUGGUUGUCAGCGACCCGUCUUGAAACACGGACCAAGGAGUCUAACAUCUAUGCGAGUGUUUGGGUGUCAAACCCGGAACGCGGAAUGAAAGUGAACGGAGGUAGGAAGCCGUGAGGCUGCACUAUCGACCGAUCCUGAUGUCUUCGGAUGGAUUUGAGUAAGAGCAUAGCUGUUGG